GCUUGCUUCAGCAGGGCGUGUUCUGAAAUUAGAACAAUACAGAGAAGAUUAGCAUGGCCCUUGUGCAAAGAUGACAUGCAAAUUCGUGGAGCAUUCCAUAUUUUU
ensembl:snRNA U6 U6 spliceosomal RNA